rnacentral:lncRNA from 1 species
AUUGUUAUUCUCUCUCUCUAAAAAGAUUCAAUGCAGAAGAGGCAUGGGUUAUGCAAAAAUACACGAGGAAAUAAAAAGGGGCAAGUGCCCGGAACCUCGAAAAAGAAAGAAAAAGAGUGAGACGAGAGGUAAAAAUGGACAAGUGUCCGAAGUAGAAUUAGGGGUACAAAGAUGCCCACUUGAGCGGAAAAAAUGGACAAGUGUCCGACAGUAGAAUUAGGGGUUUCUACUACCCAUCUAAAAAAAAGAGAAGAAGAUAGCCCAUGUUCUCCCAAAGCAAAGAUCAAAGAGGAGGAGAGAUAGCAAUAUAAAGAGCAAUGAGAACUAAAUUUUAUUAUCACUUAUGCAUUUUCACUAUCAUUUACUCCAUCACACAUGCACAUCUUGAUUUAAUUAUAUGCUGAGUUCUUUUGGAUCCAUGGCUCGAUUAGACAACAUAUGUAUGAGCUGUUUUCCACUCCUAUGAGCUCCACUUAAAUAUUCCAUUAGCUAUAGGUAAGUGAUAUCAUGGUAAGGAUCCACAAAUACCACAUAUAGAGAGACU